rnacentral:rRNA from 1 species
AGAGUUUGAUCCUGGCUCAGAUUGAACGCUGGCGGAAUGCUUUACACAUGCAAGUCGAGCGGCAGCGCGGGGCAACCUGGCGGCGAGCGGCGAACGGGUGAGUAAUGCAUCGGAACAUGUCCAUGUCGUGGGGGAUAGCCCGGCGAAAGCCGGAUUAAUACCGCAUACGCCCGAGAGGGGAAAGUGGGGGACCGCAAGGCCUCACNCGAUUGGGUUGGCCGAUGUCCGAUUAGCUAGUUGGCGGGGUAAGAGCCCACCAAGGUCGAUGAUCGGUAGCUGGUCUGAGAGGAUGAUCAGCCACACUGGGACUGAGACACGGCCCACACUCCUACGGGAGGCUCGCAGUGGGGAAUUUUGGACAAUGGGGGCAACCCUGAUCCACCCAUCUCCGCUUGAGUGAAGAAGGCCUUCGGGUUGUAAAGCUCUUUUGUCCGGAACGANNCGGUUGGCGUGAAUAUCNCCGACUACUGACGGUACCGGAAGAAUAAGNCACCGGCUAACUACNUGCCAGCCAGCCGCGGUAAUACGUAAGGUGCGAGCGUCAAUCGGAAUUACUGGGNCGUAAAGCGUNCUCANGCGGUUUUGUCNGCCAGAUGNUGAANUCCCCGGNGCUNNACCUGGGGAAUGGCAUUUNGGACUGCAAGGGCUGGCAGUGUGGGCAUAGGANANUGGGAAUUCCCCGUUGUAGGCGUNGAANUUGCNGUAUAUUAUCGGGNAGGGANUUNCCGA